CUGAUUACCACCUUUUGGGUUGAUUCGAAAGAGUCCCCUUGAGGUGAUCAACCCUUUGUGCACAAUUAUGUUUUUUGGGUCUUUGCUUACAGACUUUCGAGUCUAAAGGCCCAGCCAUUAUACAAACCUUUUAAAUUUGACUGAAUCCUAUGAAAAUAGAAA
rnacentral:misc_RNA from 1 species